GCUCAGAGGAUCUUCCCAAAGGCAAGCCCCAGAGGCCUUCACAAAAGAAACAAACUACGUUCACUGAGAAACAACUGGAAGAUCUGAACUUGUUCAAUAAGAACGUAUACCCAAACCCCAGCCUUCAGAAAGAUAUGGUCUCCAAAAUGGAAAUAGAUCCAAAAGUACUGUAGGUUUGGCUCAAAAACCUUGGAGCAAAACUCAAGAAAGCCAAAUGCAAGCAUAUUUGGCAAAAACAAGAAGCUCAACAGAGGGUAGACUCAAGACCAAUCCUUCUCAGGGAAAUAUGGACACACUACCCACAUCCCCAAAUGAGGCCCAUCCUAGAGUUUACACAGAUCAUCAGGCACCCUCAUUCCAACUAAACUUAGGCCCCAGUGGUAGGGACCCUAUAGACCACCCCAGUGGCCCCAAAAUAGUUCAUUUUGGCUGCUGCCAAGAUCUGAACAUAUACGGCUUCUAGACACUUCAGAAUCCCAAGUUCAUUCUCCAAGCUUCCAUUUUAAUUCUUUUGGUUCCUCAUCUCUACAAAAUAGAGA
rnacentral:lncRNA from 1 species